CACAUAAUUUACACACCAACCUCUUUGCCUGCCCGCCAUGUGGAAUUUUCCCCUUUCUCUCUCUUCCUUCUCUACUUUCUCUCUCUAAAAAAAACACUGUUCGCUAUCUGAACUAAACCCGAUGAGCUCGUCGCCGUCAACAAGGAAACCGACGUCCGUCGAAGAUCCACCGUCAUCAUCGACAUCGACGGAUGCGACAACGACGGUCGCGGCUGCGGAGGGUUCGUCGAAGAAAGUGAGGAAACCUUAUACCAUCACCAAGUCCAGGGAGAGCUGGACAGAGGAAGAGCACGAUAAGUUUCUUGAAGCUCUUCAACUGUUUGAUCGUGACUGGAAAAAGAUAGAAGAUUUUGUGGGCUCAAAGACUGUUAUUCAGAUAAGGAGCCAUGCACAGAAAUACUUUUUAAAGGUUCAGAAGAGUGGGACACUAGCACAUGUGCCACCCCCUCGGCCUAAGCGCAAAGCAGCUCAUCCUUAUCCUCAAAAGGCAUCCAAGAAUGCUCAAAUGCCACUUCAAGCCUCCACUUCAUUUACAACAACAACAAAUUGCGACAUGCCGGGAUAUACUUCGUGGGAUGAUGCAUCGAUGCUGCUAAACAGAGUUGUUUCACAACAGCAGGAACUUGCUACUCUUCGUGGAGGAGAAGCUGAUAUUGGAUCGAAGGGGAUCUUAAAUGUUAGUAGUAGCCCUUCGACAUCUGGUAUGGGAAGCUCAAGCCGAACAAUAUCUGCUUCUGAGAUUGUAAAACACGCAGAACAACCUCCAGUGCUUCACGGUGUUCCUGAUUUUGCUGAAGUUUAUAACUUCAUCGGGAGUGUCUUUGAUCCUGAAACGAGAGGCCACGUAGAAAAGCUCAAGGAAAUGGAUCCUAUAAAUUUCGAAACUGUUUUGUUAUUGAUGAGAAACCUCACAGUUAACUUAUCAAACCCUGAUUUCGAAUCCGCUGUAAGUGUUAAAUUUACGAUAAAAAAGGCUUGUGAUGACCAACUUUGUCAGAUCAGUCUGAACUAUUUCACUUACAAAGUUGGGUUGUCACUUCUGUCAUAGUUCUUACAUUUGCUCUAACCCUUGCGUGAUCAAGUGUAAUCUAACCUUGGCUAGUCCGACUGUAAUGAUGCUGCAGAGGAAGGUCCUCUCAUCAUAUGAAGUAAACGCCGAUUUCCCAAGUGUUACCAGUGGUUCCCUUGUCAAAGACUCAACAAGCGACUAGUCAUCUUAACGAAGGUAUCAGCCAUCACUUUAUCAAGUUUACUCGUCGGUUUUCCAUGUUUAAUAAACUUUGAGUUAUACGUCACUGGGAAUCACAAUCUUGUCCAUGAGAAUGGGGAUUCUGUAUAGGGUGUUUAUACGGUUUGUUGUUUUGAGGAAAACAAACAUAAGUCAAGUUUUCAAGCCUUAGUGCAGAUUUAGCCAAGAAUACUAGUUCGGUGAGUGGUAGGUAUAUAUAUUAUAUAUAUAUAUAAAGGAUUCUUGUUCUUCAAGCUGCGGUUGCAGGGCAGCCUCAUCCUCAGCCGCUGGUUAACUUUUUUGUAGAAAUUGCUCUUUCUCUUUAUAUAUUUUUUUGG